ACCUGUGGCUAGCGGUCUACCUGUGGCUAGCGGUCUACCUGUGGCCAGUGGUCUACCUGUGGCUAGUGGUCUACCUGUGGCCAGUGGUCUACCUGUGGCUAGCGGUCUACCUGUGGCCAGUGGUCUACCUGUGGCUAGUGGUCUACCUGUGGCUAGUGGUCUACCUGUGGCUAGUGGUCUACCUGUGGCCAGUGGUCUACCUAUGGCUAGUGGUCUACCUGUGGCCAGUGGUCUACCUGUGGCUAGCGGUCUACCUGUGGCUAGUGGUCUACCUGUGGCUAGCGGUCUACCUGUGGCUAGCGGUCUACCUGUGGCCAGUGGUCUACCUGUGGCUGCUGUUCCGUUCAGUAACUUCUGUUUUCUGUGUUUCUUUCCUUUUUAGAAGAACAUUUCUCGCCUCAGUCUGGAACAGAGUCUGGAGCUGCAGUCCAAGAUUGAAGCUUCUGUCCUUGUUGUUCUAGCAGAAGGUGGAUUUGAGAAAAUAUUUACAGACGGUGACAAGAAGAAAUUUACAUCGACUCUUCUUCAGGCCUACAGGGAUAGAAAUAACACGGUGGUGAAGGUUCCAGGCGAUCAUCACGUCCACCUAAACAAUCCUGAAGUGGUGGCGCCGCUGGUGUCCGAGUUCCUGCAGAACAAAGCGCUCUCGCCGUCAGCAGGAUCCGCAGACGUCACUUCCCCCAAGUUAUAGUGAAGAUGCCAGAAAACCAAGCGUGUCUUCUUGCUAACUAAUGUGCAUUAAUGCAGCUUGGUGCCUAAAAUCAUCCAGUUGAUUUGCAUAAAACAUGAUUUGAUGUUCCUGAACUAAAAGUGCCGAAAGCUUCUGCUUUAUGAACAAACUCAAAGAUCAGAUCAGCGUCUGAGAAAAACAUCAUUAACUCUGAAAUCUAAUCAAGUUAAGCUGCUAUUUUCCCUUUUAUGGGAUUUUUAAUGUUAAAGAAUCUUUUCUAGUUUUGGAGUCAUAAGAAAUAAAUAAUAAAUGAA